UGCUCGGGCAUAUCGCCUUCAUUUGCGAUGACUUCCGUAAGGCUUCUGACAUCGUAUACAAGACAGUCAACCCCAGUAGAGUCUCUUCCUGCAGCAGCUUGCCUCCUGUAAAGAUGUUGACGAUUUAGGUGCGCCUGGUCUGUACUCACGGAUGCGGCUACCUGGGACGCCUGGACGCUCAUGUCUGCUGCGCACCGUUGCUGCUGCUGUUGCUGGAGGCCUGCUGUAGUUGCUGCGGCGCUCAUCGCGGUCCACAACCGAAAUCAGAGGACACCGUACUGCUGUGGCUACCUGUCGUCGGAGCGAGUCAGCGCGCUCGCGUCACCCGGCCGCGCAGUCGAUGGAGGCCAGAGUGGACAGCACAAGCCAUGGUCGCUCGCUGCUCGGAUUCGCCCUCUGCAGUCAGAACAACCUCGUGCGCACAGCUGGUUGCCAGACGCCGGGGAGCUGUCCUCAGAGCGAGACUGUUCGGGUGCACGAGCGAGCUUUCUCCUCAUUGAUGGUCCGUGUGACGACACGUGCUCAAAGCGGGUCGACGUGGUAUUCUGCUCCCAGUGGACGCGAGCUUCUGGCCGCCGGCGGACAUCGUGUGCUCGUCUGUGGCGAGUUGCGUGCAGUUGUUUCGAGAGUGGAUUCGUCAGCGUUUUGGCAUCGGGACUGACAC